rnacentral:rRNA from 1 species
AUUGAACGCUGGCGGCAGGCUUAACACAUGCAAGUCGAGCGGGGGAAGGUAGCUUGCUACCGGACCUAGCGGCGGACGGGUGAGUAAUGCUUAGGAGUCUGCCUAUUAGUGGGGGACAACAUCUCGAAAGGGAUGCUAAUACCGCAUACGUCCUACGGGAGAAAGCAGGGGAUCUUCGGACCUUGCGCUAAUAGAUGAGCCUAAGUCGGAUUAGCUAGUUGGUGGGGUAAAGGCCUACCAAGGCGACGAUCUGUAGCGGGUCUGAGAGGAUGAUCCGCCACACUGGGACUGAGACACGGCCCAGACUCCUACGGGAGGCAGCAGUGGGAAUAUUGGGCAAUGGGGGGAACCCUGAUCCAGCCAUGCCGCGUGUGUGAAGAAGGCCUUAUGGUUGUAAAGCACUUUAAGCGAGGAGGAGGCUACUCUAGUUAAUACCUAGGGAUAGUGGACGUUACUCGCAGAAUAAGCACCGGCUAACUCUGUGCCAGCAGCCGCCGUAA